UACGGAGGGUGCAAGCGUUAAUCGGGAUUACUGGGCGUAAAGCGUGCGCAGGCGGUUUGUUAAGUCCGCUGUGAAAUCCCCGAGCUCAACUUGGGAAUUGCAGUGGAUACUGGCAAGCUGGAGUAUGGUAGAGGAAGGUGGAAUUCCCGGUGUAGCAGUGAAAUGCGUAGAGAUCGGGAGGAACACCAGUGGCGAAGGCGGCCUUCUGGACCAAUACUGACGCUCAUGCACGAAAGCGUGGGGAGCAAACAGG
rnacentral:rRNA from 1 species